CCGCCCCCUUUGUGCCCCACAUCCGCCCUUCGGCGAAGCCCGCAUCGAAGCCGACUACUGCUCUAACGGAAAUGAAGAAACUGCCAGAUGUUAACCUUAGCCAGAGGUGGCGUUCACUUCUGUGGGCUUGGAGGCUUCUGGGAUGGUCCAUCAUUCAGUGGGAAUGUGGACUGUGUUCACACGGAUCAGUAUUCUAGAUCUUUCUUGGAGGAAAUGGACAAAGACGCAAUAUUUGCUGCCUUACAAACCACAUCCUCCCCAGAACCAACUGGUGCUACGUUGGCUUCCUUUUGCCUGGGCCAGAACCAGAGUUUGCCAUGGUGAAGACACAAAAAACCAAUGCUAGGUAAGGACCGGUCAGGUUUGGUGGAGAACAAGAAGCAGUCGUUAUUGUUUGAGCUCAGUGAAGAUACCUUCUAAACCAUCAUCAGACCAGGGGUCCCAACUCAUGAUGUCAACGUUCCUUCAACUGUUAGAUGUGUCUCUGCUUCAACACGCCUGAUUCAAUGACCUAAUUAGCAGAACUUGACUGUAUGAAGAUGAUCAGGUGUUGGA